rnacentral:lncRNA from 1 species
CGCGGAGAGGCUGCGCGCCUCCGUGCGGGCGGCUGCGGGGCCGGGGGGCUCCGAGGGAAGCGGGUCGGAGCUCGAGGAUCCCAGCUCCGCCGGGUGGGCAGCGCAGGGCGAGCGGCAAAGCCUCCGCGUCCCGCUGUCACCGUCCGAAGCACGCUGUGUGCCUCACCCUGCUUUCUGAGGAUGUCUGGUUGUCCGGUGGGGUUCCUGCAUACUGACAAGUGUUCUGCCUGUGGAUGAAAGCCCUGCUUGCUCCAGCUGUUUUCAUUUCCCAUUCCAGCAGAGGUCCCCUGGUACUGCAGUUAACAAACGUGUGAAAGAGAUCACGGUCCUAUGGGAGAAGACAUUGCCCAGCUCUCCAGUGGAAAGCUGAGGGGCUGGGACGUUACAAGGAGGAUAAAGCUCACAUACCCAUCUACUGAGUCUCUAUGCAAAUAAUGUGGGGUUCUGGGUUUGGAGAUUAAAAUUCAUGUUUAUCAAAUGCCAGUAGCUGGUAAGAAAUUUCCACAAACUGGAGGAACAAGGACUUCUGCAGAGCUGUCCCAGAGAAAGUAGAUGUCAUGCUAGAUGUUCCCCUUCUGGAAAUUUCAUUUACCUCAUAUCUGCAGGUUUGUGUUUGUCACUGCAGAGCCUGUCUGAGGG